AUACGGAGGAUGCGAGCGUUAUCCGGAUUUAUUGGGUUUAAAGGGAGCGUAGGCGGGAGCUUAAGUCAGCGGUUAAAUGGUGCGGCUCAACCGUGCCCUGCCGUUGAAACUGGGUUUCUUGAGAGUGCAAGAGGCGGAUGGAAUUCAUGGGGUAGCGGUGAAAUGCUUAGAUAUCACGAAGAACUCCGAUCGCGAAGGCAGCCUUCCGGCCCGUCAACGACGCUCAUGCUCGAAGGUGCGGGUAUCAAACAGGAUUAGAUACCCUGGUAGUCCGCACAGUAAACGAUGGACACCCGCGGUUUGGCCUGUAUGGCUGAGCCGCCAAGCGAAAGCGUUAAGUGUCCCACCUGGGGAGUACGCCGGCAACGGUGAAACUCAAAGGAAUUGACGGGG
rnacentral:rRNA from 1 species